rnacentral:lncRNA from 1 species
UAACAAGCUCAUGAAGAUCUGCAAUAGUUAUAAAUCUAUUUUCACUUUGGCUAAGAGUAGCAUCCAUAAUCUUUCCUUCCUUAGAUAACUCAAAUAAAUUUUAAAAAAUUAAAUUAGAAGAGGUGUGGUUGUCGUUUUAUUUAUUCUAUAAAUUCCUUUUAAAAUAAAUCUGUAGAGGGAGAUUCAAUGAUAGAAAAAAACUAACAAUAUGAGCUUACACAUUAGAAUCACACAAUUAACCAUAUUUUGAAUGACUAAAAAUACCAAAGAAUACUACAAUGCUUUCUUCCACUAACAAUAAUCCUUCAUCAACUAAUAACAACAAUGUGUAAUCCUGCACUCUCAAAAGACCACUCAAAACAUACAAAUUCCAUCCAACACUGGAAAUAACAAUCUUCCACUCCAACCAAUCUUACUUUACACAAUUUUUUUAUUUCUAAAAUUUUAGAUUCUAACCAUUAUUCUUUACUUAAUCAUUUUUAUAACUAAUUCAAUCAUCCGACAUGUUGAAUUGACAACCCUAGGAUUGAUUAAUCUACUUUAUACAUAUCUU